GAUGAACGCUGGCGGCGUGCCUAAUACAUGCAAGUCGAGCGAACAGAUAAGGAGCUUGCUCCUUUGACGUUAGCGGCGGACGGGUGAGUAACACGUGGAUAACCUACCUAUAAGACUGGGAUAACUUCGGGAAACCGGAGCUAAUACCGGAUAACAUAUUGAACCGCAUGGUUCAAUAGUGAAAGGCGGCUUUGCUGUCACUUAUAGAUGGAUCCGAGCCGUAUUAGCUAGUUGGUAAGGUAACGGCUUACCAAGGCAACGAUACGUAGCCGACCUGAGAGGGUGAUCGGCCACACUGGAACUGAGACACGGUCCAGACUCCGACGGGAGGCAACAGUAGGGAAUCUUCCGCGAUGGGCGAGUGCCUGACGGAGCAACGCCGCGUGAGUGAUGAAGGUCUUCGGAUCGUAAAGCUCUGUUAGCAGGGGAGAACAAAUGUGUAAGUGACUGUGCACAUCUUGACGGUACCUGAUCAGAAAGCCACGGCUAACUACGUG
rnacentral:rRNA from 1 species